rnacentral:rRNA from 1 species
ACUCCUACGGGAGGCAGCAGUGGGGAAUAUUGCACAAUGGGGAAACCCUGAUGCAGCCAUGCCGCGUGUGUGAAGAAGGCCUCGGUUGUAAAGCACUUCAGUAGGGAGGAAGGUAGUGUAGUUAACACCUGCAUUAUUUGACGUUACCUACAGAAGAAGCACCGGCUAACUCCGUGCCAGCAGCCGCGGUAAUACGGAGGGUGCGAGCGUUAAUCGGAAUUACUGGGCGUAAAGCGCAUGCAGGCGGCCUGUUAAGUCAGAUGUGAAAGCCCGGGGGCUUAACCUCGGAAUUGCAUUUGAAACUGGCAGGCUAGAGUCUUGUAGAGGGGGUAGAAUUUCAGGUGUAGCGGUGAAAUGCGUAGAGAUCUGAAGGAAUACCAGUGGCGAAGGCGGCCCCCUGGACAAAGACUGACGCUCAGAUGCGAAAGCGUGGGGAGCAAACAGGAUUAGAUACCCUGGUAGACUGUCA